rnacentral:rRNA from 1 species
GACAGAGGUGCCGAGCGUUAGGCGGAAUCACUGGGCUUAAAGCGCGUGUAGGCGGGUCCGUAAGUGCCUUGUGAAAUCCCACGGCUCAACCGUGGAACUGCUGGGCAUACUGCGGGUCUUGGGCCAUCUAGGGGCGAGCGGAACAAGCGGUGGAGCGGUGAAAUGCGUAGAUAUCGCUUGGAACGCCAAUGGUGAAAACAGGUAGCUGGGAGUGUGCUGACGCUGAGACACGAAAGCCAGGGGAGCAAACGGG